rnacentral:rRNA from 1 species
AUUGAACGCUGGCGGCAUGCCUUACACAUGCAAGUCGAACGGUAACGGGUCCUUCGGGAUGCCGACGAGUGGCGAACGGGUGAGUAAUAUAUCGGAACGUGCCCAGUAGUGGGGGAUAACUGCUCGAAAGAGCAGCUAAUACCGCAUACGACCUGAGGGUGAAAGGGGGGGAUCGCAAGACCUCUCGCUAUUGGAGCGGCCGAUAUCAGAUUAGCUAGUUGGUGGGGUAAAGGCCUACCAAGGCAACGAUCUGUAGUUGGUCUGAGAGGACGACCAGCCACACUGGGACUGAGACACGGCCCAGACUCCUACGGGAGGCAGCAGUGGGGAAUUUUGGACAAUGGGCGCAAGCCUGAUCCAGCAAUGCCGCGUGCAGGAAGAAGGCCUUCGGGUUGUAAACUGCUUUUGUCAGGGAAGAAAUCUUCUGGGCUAAUACCCCGGGAGGAUGACGGUAGCUGAAGAAUAAGCACCGGCUAACUACGUG